rnacentral:lncRNA from 1 species
AUUUUUUUUUUAAAAAGUCUAUCCCAAUCCUUGGGAUUUUUUAAAAAGUCUAUCCCACUUCUUGGGAUUAAGGUCCUUGAGGGAUCGACUUUUAUCCUUGAGAGAGAAAAAGUCGAUCCCUGGUGCAUUUGGAGGAUUCUUUGGAAGUCGAUGCCUGAAAGCCUGGCUCCUUGAGGGAUCGACUUUUUUCCUUGGAAGAAAAAGUCGAUCUUCUGAAAAGUUGAUCCCUUGCUGGCUGAUUUCCUCGCAAGACUCCCUAGCUGGCGACUUGGAAAAAAAGUCGAUCACUUUUUUCGAAAAAGUCGAGGAGCUUUUGUCGUGAGUAUAUUUGAACCACAGACGGCGCCAACUGAUGGGGGUGAAACCCGACCAGUACUCCAAGACGCGCAAGCAAGCGCCAAGCGGGGAACUCCGCGGGAAACCGGACUGGAACUCAAGUGCGCAGAGCUCUGCUUUGCUAGGAAUCCUUUCGCUCCAAAUGACCUGCCUUUAAUGAGUGGGGGGUGCCCUCUAUUUAUAGGGGUUCUUAUGGGGGC